GACGAACGCUGGCGGCGUGCUUAACACAUGCAAGUCGAGCGGGAAACUUCGGUUUCCAGCGGCGGACGGGUGAGUAACACGUGGGCAACCUGCCUCACAAUGAGGGAUAGCCUUCCGAAAGGAAGAUUAAUACCUCAUAACACAAGAGAAACGCAUGUUUCUUUUGCCAAAGAAUUUCGUUGUGAGAUGGGCCCGCGGCGCAUUAGCUUGUUGGUGAGGUAACGGCUCACCAAGGCUUCGAUGCGUAGCCGACCUGAGAGGGUGAUCGGCCACGUGGGAAGUGGGACACGGGCCAGGCUGCGACGGGGGGCAGGAGUGGGGAAUAUUGCACAAUGGAGGAAACUCGGAUGCAGCAACGCCGCGUGAGUGAUGAAGGUCUUCGGAUUGUAAAGCUCUGUCUUCUGGGACGAUAAUGACGGUACCAGAGGAGGAAGCCACGGCUAACUACGUGCCAGCAGCCGCCGUAA
rnacentral:rRNA from 1 species